GGGUUGGGGAAGCCGGAAGCUUUCACUUGUGGCACCUGCAGACUGUGGGUACACAGGCAGGCUUAUCAAAACCUCCAAAAUAGGGGAGAAUUCUGUCAUCUAUAUAGCUCCAGGACAAGAUGAGCUCGAUGUCACUCCCUUGCCACCAUCAUCAGAAGCAGUCCGAGAUAUGCCUAAAGCAAUGUGCAAAAAAUACUGUACCCACUUCAGAUCCUCACAAAUCACAUUACGACUUGUUCUGAUGUUGUUGUGGUCGAAGAUGGAGAUGAAAGUCAGGAUGAAACUCUGCAUGAUCCACAAGAUGUGGAAAGUGAAAAAAAGAGCAAUGAACAGGCUUGCUGUCCUAUUUGUCAAGAAGAAAUGCCCCUUGACAUCUUGGAAGUUCAUGCCAGUGAAUGUGGGGAAAGACCUAUGGAUGAUGAAAAUAACAACACAACUGAGUUGUCAUGUAUGGAUAAUGAAGUGAACGACACUGCUGAGUUUUUAUACGUGGAUAAUGGUACCGAUUGGAAAACCCAUCCGGAUCCAAAAGUAGCUAUGGCUUUGUACAGAAGGGAAAUUCUCAGACUGCAUGAGACAGGGAAACCUCUUUAAAUGUGUAUGGACUUGAGAACAUGUGCUGAAGAACAGGAAAGGCAACUGAUCAACUUCUACAAGCAAAGAAAUGUAGAGUGGGCCUGUCCUGUCAAAUGUCAACUUGAAGGGGAUGCUGCAGUUGGUGAUGGAGUCACCAGACACUUUUUUUCUACAAUUCUUGAAAAACUGAAGUAUGGUUUCAGUUUGAACUUGGGAAACACAGGAGUUACUUGCCUCUUUGAGGGACAGCCAGACCACUUGGUGCCCUCAUCCUCACAAUUCCUCAUUGAAAGUGACCUCUUCCUAGUAGCGGGGAGAAUGCUAGGUCAUUCUUUUCUGCACGGCGGCCCAUGUCUCGCAGGGCUCAGCAGAGCUUUUGUUCAUGUUCUACUUCAAGGUUCUCAAGAUACUGCCACUUUGCAACUGGAGGACUGCCCAGAUGUUGACAAACGGGAGACCAUCAACUUGCUCAGUGGACAGUCUCCAUUGAAUGAGGACCAGUCUAGUAAAGUCCUGGAUCUUUGUUUGUCUUGGGAUCUUCCUGGUCCAACAGAAGAAAACAGAAGGUGGCUUUACGAACGUCUGCUGUCACAUGCGGU